rnacentral:rRNA from 12 species
UACGGGAGGCAGCAGUGGGGAAUAUUGGACAAUGGGCGCAAGCCUGAUCCAGCCAUGCCGCGUGUGUGAUGAAGGCCCUAGGGUUGUAAAGCACUUUCAACGGUGAAGAUAAUGACGGUAACCGUAGAAGAAGCCCCGGCUAACUUCGUGCCAGCAGCCGCGGUAAUACGAAGGGGGCUAGCGUUGUUCGGAAUUACUGGGCGUAAAGCGCACGUAGGCGGAUCGUUAAGUGAGGGGUGAAAUCCCAGGGCUCAACCCUGGAACUGCCUUUCAUACUGGCGAUCUUGAGUUCGAGAGAGGUGAGUGGAAUUCCGAGUGUAGAGGUGAAAUUCGUAGAUAUUUGGAGGAACACCAGUGGCGAAGGCGGCUCACUGG